ensembl:lncRNA
UUCUAAAGAUAUCACGAUAUAUCGAUAUUGUGAAUUCUUAUGGCCACAAUAACCGUGAUAUGAAAAAUCUAAUAUUGUGACAGCCCUACUUGUACCUUAAAGGUGCUGUAUGUAGGAUUGUCACUGAGUGGUUGAACUAGGUAUUGCAGUCCAAAUUCAAAAUAUUGGAGAGGGUUUUUUCACCCGGCCCCUCCUCAUCAGACUUAACACACAUGCAGGUUGCCAGAUUGACGACACCAACAAGAAAGAGCGCACUUGACGAUGAAUGAAAUUAAAUAUGCUGUGUUUUCCGCCAACUCGCAACCCGGGGUGUCGAAAUACAAUUGGGUAAACUGGAAGUGGGCGGGUUUCAGAAACCUAAACAAAUACAGACUUUCCACCCGGAACGCACAUUUUCAAAGGAGAAUAACUGACUCUAGCAUUGUUUUGGUGUUUUUGGUAUUUUUAUGCUUUAGUAGAGGUACAAAUGCAAAAAGGUACAUAUUUUUAACUUAUUUACCCCUAAAUGAUACAUUGAAGUAAAAUACAUAUUACAUACAUAUAAUUACGUACAUAACUGUAAAAUGUUAUGCUCUUAUUACAGGAAAAUCCAUAUUUCCAUGAUUUGCCCUCUUGUAAGUGAUCAGGGUCCCUAAACCUCUGAUCACCUCACCAUGGACCCUCACCUCCAAAUGGAGCUUAAUAUUAGGAGAUGGAGGGAGGAAGAGAUGAGAGGUUUGUCAGACUAUGACUCGGUGUGCAUGAAUGGACAGACCGCUGAUAUAGUCAUCUGCUUCCAAUGUAGAGAAGAGCAGAGGGAGCCAUCCAUCGCUGGGCACGUGGACUCAACCUUGAAAAGCGUAGAGGGAGAUUGAACUGUGUGGUCUUCACUGCACUUCUCCCUUAACAAGCUCAAACUGGACUCGAGGGGGAGACGUAAACCAUCAAGUCUGGAUCUGGCACAGAGCAAAGAGUGAUAUCAAAGAGCAAGGCAAGUGACACCACAAAGUGGCCUGAACACAGAGAUCAAUUAGCUUCUUUUAAGUGAGAUCAAAGCGUCGUGCCCCUAUGCCGAGGCAUGAAGGCCAAUUAAAUCUGACCAGAAGGAUGCUGGUCCUCAUGGACAACUCACCACUGGACACAUGCUAUGGAUUUAACAGUAUGCUAUAAAAACACCACAAAUCUGUAUACUUAUCAUUUGAUAUUCACUAUAAAUGGUGUUAUUUUGGAGGCCAGCAACACAGAACUUCUCAUUCCUUACUUAUUAUAGUAAUCAUAAUCAUAAAAAAAUGAUAGUCAGUGUUAGGCGAUAAAAGUGAGGGAGUGAGGGAGCGUGAGAGUGGAGUCGGAAGAGGAAACAUCGAGUCUCAGUCCACAGACAGGUGCAGUGACCCUAUCCACCUCUGGAGGUGCCACUUGCAUUUUAUGGGACAUUUAUGGUAGGCCAGCACUUUUUACCACGGCCACCUGGAUGCAAUAAGAGCACAGCUCCUGAGCCUGCUUGUAGGAAACUCUCAGGGGCUCCCGUGGGAGUCAGGGCCUGUUAAGAUGUUUAUGAUUCAAAAAGUGGUCCAGGGGGAAAACACUGACAACUACAGAGAGAGGGAUUUUGUAGAGGGAGCUUGUUUUCUUGUUACUUCCAACACUCCCCCAGAGAGCUGUUUUCCCUCCUCUUUUCCUGAUUAAACCCAUGGGGAGAACAGGAUUCAUUUAGAUGUUUUUUUUAAACUGUGUUUAAUUAUGUUUGGGGUGAUUUGAUGAUCUGUCAGUUGGUUUUAGGUUUUGUUUCAUAUAUGUAUCAUAUUUGUUAGAUGUAGUUCAUUUAGUUCAGAAAAUCGGAAUGAACUACAAUAGAAAAGAAUUAGCUAGACUCCACUGAAAGUUUGUAAAUUAAAUUGCAAUGACACAAGUCCAGAUGGGCUGCUCUAAUAACUUCAUUAGGAUUGACAUACUUCCUGUUCAUUGAUAUAUA